UACGGGGGGGGCAAGCGUUGUUCGGAAUUACUGGGCGUAAAGGGCCAGUAGGCGGCCAACUAAGUCGGAUGUGAAAUCCCCAGGCUCAACUUGGGAACUGCAUCCGAUACUGGAUGGCUUGAAUUCGGGAGAGGGAUGCAGAAUUCCAGGUGUAGCGGUGAAAUGCGUAGAUAUCUGGAGGAAUACCGGUGGCGAAGGCGGCAUCCUGGACCGACAUUGACGCUGAACGGCGAAAGCUAGGGAGCAAACGGG
rnacentral:rRNA from 1 species